GAUCCUGGCUCAGGAUGAACGCUAGCUACAGGCUUAACACAUGCAAGUCGAGGGGCAGCAUGGUCUUAGCUUGCUAAGGCUGAUGGCGACCGGCGCACGGGUGAGUAACACGUAUCCAACCUGCCGUCUACUCUUGGCCAGCCUUCUGAAAGGAGGAUUAAUCCAGGAUGGGAUCAUGAGUUCACGUGUCCGCAUGAUUAAAGGUAUUUUCCGGUAGACGAUGGGG
rnacentral:rRNA from 1 species